UUUAAUAAGCUUUGAUUAAUGAUGCUGGCUUUAAUUUGAACUUCAUAUUAUUGUUUUCCAAAUGAUUUCCAUAAUAGAGAACAUGGUGGAUCUAAGCAUGAGAUUUUAAGUUCCUGCCUUUCAAAGGUGUGGCUAAAAAGGAAGAGGAUAGAAAACACUGUGUGCCCUCAUGCCAAGCUCUCCCUGUAGGGACAUUAUCCUCACCAUUGCAUUUCAUCUUCAAAACAGCCCUGCAAGUUGUUGCAACAACGCCACUGAGCUGACUCACCAUCCCAGGAGUCAGUGAAGGCUUCCCCGAGGAAGCAGUGUUUGAGCUGAGCCUUGAAACAGAAGUAAGAAGACUCCAGGAGAAGGCUGCAGUAGAGGCUAGAGCUGUUUUUCCUGGCAGCAGACCCAGAGAGAAGCUCAACACUUGGAGUAUGAAAGGAGAGUUGGAAAGAAAUCAACUGUGGAAUAACUGCUGGCAGUUUCAUUUCAAGACCAGUGUUCUAUAACUAGCUCUACGUUUCUAGAGCAGUCUACGUCUCUGAAAAAUUUGGAGUAAGACACAUUCUCCGUUUUAUUGUAUCUACAAUGGAACCUCUCCUCCCUCUCAUUUCUUCUCCAAAGAAUCGUCAUUUUGAAAGACGUCUUCAAAACCUGAAUCAUCCACUAACAAUGCUCAGGAGACCCUCUGAAGCAGUCAGUUGUACUUUCUGCACAAAGAGAUGAAAAUGUGCAGAUACUGGAAAGCCCUGGCUCCUCAUCUGCAGUGAAGAAGAUAUACUGUACACAGACACCCAUAUACCACUGGAAAUGGAUAGGAUGUGUCAUCCCUCAGCUCUGUAUGUUUUCUUUAGAAAUUCUUAUUGUUUCAUUAAUUCAACAAAUAUGUAUUCAUCAAUGACCAUAUGUAAGAGUGAGUCAGGAACUGUAGGAAACACAAGGGAAUCGGUUAUGGACCCCUUUCUUCAACAGCUUAGAGCAGGGGUCCCCAAUCCCUUGGCUGUGGACGGGUGCAGGUCUGUGGCCUGUUAGGAACUGGGGCUCACAGCAGGAGGUGAGUGGUGGGCAAGUGAGCAAAGCUUCAUCUGUAUUUACAGCUGCUCCCUACGGCUUGCAUUACCACCUGAGCUCUGCCUCCUGUCAGAUCAGCGGCAGCAUUAGAUUCUCAUAGAAUCAUGAACCCUAUUGUAAAGUGUGCAUACAGGGAUUCUAGAUUGCACGCUCCUUAUGAUAAUCGAGCACCCGACGAUCUGCCACCGUCUCCCAUUACCCCCAGAUGGGACCGUCUAGUUGCAGAAAAACAAGCUCAGGAGUCUCACUGAGUCUACAUUGUGAGCCAGGAUGCCCAUCUUCUCCUGCCCAUGGAGGUUAGACCCCAGAUUCUCCCGUCUUUGGACUCCAGCACUCACACCAGUGGACCCUUGGGCUCUUGGACCUUUGGCCUUGAACUGAGAUUUACACCAUUGUCUUCCUUGCUUCUAAAGCCUUCAGAUUUGGACUGAGCACGCUGCCGGCUUCCCUCGUUCUUCAGCUCACCGACAGUCUAUCAUGGGACUUCUCAGCCUCCAUAAUCAAGUGUGGAACGGCUUUGUAAGAGGAAGUGAAACCUGAGCCGGCGCGCUGAGCACCCUUGCUCUGUGGUUCCCUGUGCUGCUGGGGAUGCUGCAGAGGCCCCACCAACAAGUCCCCAUCUCACCAGACAUGUCCCUGUGACCUUGGACUUCUCAGCCUGCAUUACUGAAGAAAACACAGCACUAAGGAAGAGAAAAGAGACACUUCAUUCUCUGCCACGAACAACAUGUGAAUCAAGCCCUGAAACAGGUUUUCACAAAAAAGUAAUUUUUGGAGAGAAAUGCCUUUGAAUAAGUAAGUGUCCUGGAUUCAGACUUCCUGAGACAAAACGUCAUCACAGCUGUUUGGUCAACAUCAGUCAUCCACGUGCCUUUCGGGAGAAAUCACCACUGCAGGUUUCCAGCCUUGCUGGGUUCCCCUGUUCACGUGAACCUUGAUGCCCACUGUCUACCUGGCGCUGGUGAACAAGCACACGGGACACCUGGCCUCAUGGAGCUGGUAUUCCAGGUGCAAGAGCAACAAUCCACAAACACAUAAGCACUGUCAUGUAAUGUUAGGUGGUGCCAAGUGCCUGGUGAAAACAAUGAAACACAUCUUGGGGCAGUGGAUUAUGGUGGAGGACCAAGGAUGGGAGAGGGUGAAAUAUUUUAGAUAGAGUUGUUUACGAAAGGCUUCUCAGUUCCAGGUUAUAAGUUAAGUAUCUAUGUAGGCUGGCCCUUUCUACAAAGCAAAAAUCCUGCUAUUAAUUCUGCAAAUAAAUUAUUUAGUUUUCAAAAAAAAGAAAAUUUACUAGCCCUAGCUGAAAUUUAAGAAAGAAUUUAUAGUUCUCUCUUUUCCCCACCCUCGACCCUUUCUUUCCUUCUUUCCUCUCUCCUCGUCUUCCGCUUUCUCCUAUUCUAUCUUUCUUUUGUCUAUGUACCAGUGUCUUGUCUUGACUACCUUCUUAUAGCUGGGGGAAAGCAAAUGCACAAUGCCUCUAUUCCUUUGUAAAUGAUUCUUUGGGAAAUAUUUGUAGAGUCCUAAACUCUUUCAAUGAGAAAAGAGAAAGUAAGAAACCCAUCAGGCAGGCAGUUAGGGUGAGUCCCUGGUAAAAAUUCCAUCAAACAAAGAACAGCCUGAAAAUCAAACUGCAGGCCCCAGAUAAGAAAGAGCCUGCAUCCUUGAAUGGAGAUGCUUACUCGGUGAACCCAGAUGAACAAAUUCUACCCUUAUUUGGACACAUUUCUCUCUCCUUGGCAUGCCUUAGUCACUUAUUUUCACCUAUUGGUCUCUUACUUUUCACCUAUUUUACAUAUGCCUACCUUUCUGUAAUUGGCUGUGGGCUAAGUCUUCAUUUACAUAGGUUGAGUCAUCACUUCAGCCUCUGAUUGGUCCCAGGCCAAGGUCCCAAGCCAAGCCUUCACCUCUGCCUCCAAUUGGUUCUUUACACUAUGAUACCUCUUUCUAAGCGGUGCUUUCUCCAAAACAGCCUGCAGACCAGUCAGCACGCUCCUCCCCUUCCCAGUCCGUUCCUACCCUGGACUCAGCCUCAUAGUUGGCAGCCCUCUUUUGGGCCCUCUCUCCUUGGUGGAGACUUUUCUUCUUUUGCUUAUUAAACAUUCAUUCCAGCCUCACCCUUUGUGUCCAUGCUCCUUAAUUUUCUUGGUCACGAGGCAAAGAACCCUGGUAUACCUCAAACAACAAGAGACUGCUACAUUGCGGUGCAUUGGCAAGACUAUAACAUUAACACUACUCAGAAAACUUGCUACAACUAACUUCUGCUGUUUUGUUUUAUCUUUCUGGGUUCCUAGUAAUGUAAAUUUUAUAAUGGGUAUCUGGAGCUCAGGCCCAGACUUCUGUCAUGCCUAGAGGAAGAACAUGGACCCCUGCUGAAAACAAUGAAAAAACAACAAACUGCCAAUCCAAGUUCUGUACUAAUGUCACAUUAUUUUCCACAUGAAAGCUUUGCAUUUAAGUAAGGUACCAAUGGUAUACUGUAGCCAUUUGCCUUAGAAUACAAUUGUAGUCUUGUCUUGUGUGUGACAAGGUAUUUAGGACUAUAUGAGUGUUCUGGCAGAAAAAAACAGUUCAACUCCAGAGGUCUGAGUGAAGCAAAUGUUAAGAGGGGCUAUUGUGAAAGGUGUGGGUAAGGUGAAGGCAGAUGGUAAGGCCACAGAGACUGGCAAGAGCAGAAAACCAUUAUCAUCUGCAGAGCUGAAAGGCAGCGGAAUGGGGUUCCCAGAGCCCACUGAGAACUAGAGGCCUGGAGACAGUGGCCUAAGAAGAUGCUGCCUUGUCAGAGCUUAGCAGUGAAAGUAGAGGGCAGAGCAGAGGAAAAUACCCAUAUCUGUCUUUCCACCCACUCUCUAGUCUCAAUUCCAAUCAAAAGCCAAUGGUCCAGUAGCCUAGACAGUGUGUAGGAGUCAGCCGUCUCUGCGGUACAGAACAGGACAGAGAAAGGCAGAGAAGGGCAUCUGAGGAGAGCAAAUGCAAAUCCAGACCCCAGCAACCACAGGGAACACUCACUUGCUCAUUAAACACUUUGUCUCUGCACAUAUCCAUGAGCGCUUCUUCAACCAUUGAUCCUACUUUUCCUCUUUCUGUUGUAAUAGCCAAAUAUCGAGCAAUGUCACACUUGGUAAAUGGUCUCCCUGAUCAAAGUGCUAAGGUGACCUAAUUAAAUUGAUGGCUUUUAAUUUCAUGUAUUUCAGCAAUUGGCCUGUGAAGGCCUGAUCUGACCAUGUGUCCUGGACACGGUCUUUUCCCUCCCCAAGGGCCUCUUUUGUACUUUAAGAUAAAAGAUCAUUUCAAAGGAGUUUAAUUAUUUUCUCUCUAAGUAAACCCAAAAGAACUUCCUCUUCUAUUCCAUUUUUAGGGCCUGUCUAUAAUUUUCUUAUUCUCGCUAAUAGUUUCUUUCAUAAAGAAAUAUAGGUCUUGAAAGUCAUCAUAAUGUCAUUUUCCUGUAGUAGAGACUGUAAAGACGAAAGCACAGCUGUCUGGGGCCCCUCACAGUCUUACUCUUACUGAGGCUUUUCCAAUGACUGCAUUUUCUGGCUCUGGUUACAAUUAUUUCAUGAGUUACAUUACAAACCAUUGCAGUUCCUUUCUUAGCUGAAAUAGUUUCCUUGGCCUUUGCUGAGUUUCUUUUUUUCCCCCAUGAAGAAAGAACAGCUCUUGAGAACUUUGCCAAAUGCACACAUUCACACAAACCCACCCAUUAAAUCUGUGUUUCAAACACAUAAUGGUUCUGCUGAUGUUUGUUGUGAAAAAUGGUCAUUGUCUACGUCUUCACCCACUUUUGAAGAAACUGAUCUCUCUGCUGUUUCCUAGAAGAAUUAUUUCCUUUGUUGUGUUCUACGUGUGAACAGAGAGAAACAACCUUUAAACUGAUAUUGAUCCCCUGGCUUUACCAACUCAAAGCCUUACAAAGGGCAUGUCAGCUCGUCUUGGAGCUGAAUAGCAUUACUAAUUAAACUCGAGAUUUAUGCUUCUGUUCAUCAGAGAGUACUUCAUAAGCACCUCCACCUAACCCGCUCUGUAGCCUGAGACUAAGGAGGGCAUGCAUGAAAGAAACCUCAUGAAUAUUAAGUGAUGUUUUAUUGAGACCCUCGAGGCCUUGCCAAUGGCAUGGGAAGCAUGUCAUUCUUCAUUUGUAGCUCUUGAACAUUUAGGUGGUCAAUUCUGCAGAGAAAAUAUCUACCCACAGAAAAAUAUAUCUCAGCCCAUUCCAAAUUAAAUAUUGUCAGCCCCCUUUCUCUUCACCCCCAAGUCACCAGAAGUUAAGUUAGACUCAGGAAGGUAAGAAUUCAGUAUAGAUGUUUUCACUGAGUGCUAACAAGCUGUAGUAUCAGAAGCUAUAAAAAUGCCAUCAAGAUAUUAGGCAAAAUUGGAAGGAAGAAAGUUCACCCAAAGCACAGCUGCUGAAAUCAUUAUAUUAUUCAUGUACCAUUUUUACAAAUAGUCCAUUCCCAGGUCUGAUGUCUGAAAUAGGGAGCUUGCUUGUCUUCACCUGUGUAGUUUCAUAGGCCUGGAAUAUGGUACCAAGGUCAGGUUAACAGGUCUUCUGUAUCAGGGGUCCCCAACCCUCCGGGCUACAGACAAAUACUGGCCCCUGGCCUGCUAGGAACCGGGUCACCCAACAGGAGGUGAGCAGCAGGCAAGUGGGCAUCACCACCUGAUCUCCACCUUUUGUCAGAUCGGCGGGGGCAUCAGAUUCUCAGGAGCACAAACCCUAUCGUGAACUGCACAGGUGAGGGAUCUAGGUCGCGUGCUCCUUAUGAGAAUCUAAUGGCUGGUAUGAUCUGAGGUGAAACAGUUCCAUCCUGAAACCAUCCCUCCCCCUACUCCCCUUACACCCUCACUUUCCCCCACCCCCCCAACUAUCACCCCCUCCCCCUGAAGCAGUCUAUGGAAAAAUUGUUUCCAUGACACCAGUCCCUGGUGCCAAAAAGUUUGGUGACUGCUGUUCUGUAUAACCUGGUGGGUCAGUUCAUCUAUGUAGGUUGGCCACGGGGGCUGUUUAUUUUCCUGGAUAUAAUCAGAGAGGAAGACACUCACUAGCUCCUGACCCAGAGGAAGAAGAAAGGAGCAUUUCUACCUGGGAUUCUGUGACACAGGUUAACUUCCAAAAUGACACAGUUCCUCGUGAUGCAGAAUUUUCAAACUUUAAGAGGCUAAACUGGGAAGAGCACCUUCCUUGUAUCAGAUGAUAUGCGAGCGCGGCACAGUUUUCUGGGUGUCUGCAUGGUCGUCGCUUGGGUGAUAAAGCUGUGGUUAUUAAUAAUUAGAGCACAACUUAGAAAUUGUUGGCAUUAAACCUGGAAUUCAAAUCAAAUUUCUUCUCUGCUAAAAUCUCUUCCAUGCCUUCCCACUGAAAUUAGAAUUAAAACGUCAGCUUUCUUUGUGGCCUUUUCUGGUCCCUCCCUACUGACCAACCUUCUCUCUCUCCUCCUUCCCCUCGUUUUGCCAAAGACUCAAGCCAUGCACUGAUGUUGCUUCCGGUCCUCAUCCUAAACUGGCUCUUGUACAGAGGACCUUUGUACUUCCAGACCUGUCUGAACUCAAAAUGUACUAUUCUCAGAGAGGUCUUUCUCUUCAGACUGUACUUUCUAAAAUAAUGCCCCUGUUGCAGGUAUUCUUUUACUCAUCAUAUCACCCUAUUUAUUCCCUUCAUAGUAAUGAUGAAAAUCAGUAUUUAUUUUUACUUUUUAUUUAUCUGUUUCCUCCACUAAGAGCUCCAAUGAGUAGGAACUCUUCAGUCAUGACAUUAUCUCUAUCGGCUAACCGUAAAGAACAACAUGGAGCAGAACUCAAAAUAUAAUUGUUAAAUGAAGUAAAGAAACCUUAUUUGUGAAUAUUAAUUUCUAAUAUAAACCAUUUGCAAAUAUGAACAUGCUAGGUUCAUGGUCCACAUUUUUUAAACAACCUGGUACUCCUGACAUGCAAAGCUCCAAAGCAGUACCAACCUUUGCUAUAGAUAUUUUCACCAACCCUGUGUGGGGUAGGGAAGGCUGCCUAAAGUUCGGUUGUAGCUUUGAGGUUAUGAUUUAGUGAGGUUAACUGUAACCACUGAAAGAACUUGAGAGAAGUAUCCCUUAACUUCUUUUUAAAUUUUUCAUUUGAGCUACAAAUAUGGGUAUUGAAAGAAGUUCUGACAAAGCAUUUUUUAUCUAAGCUUUAUUGAAAAUAGUCUUUUUUUAAAUUUUUUAUUUUUGAAGAGACAGGGUCUCACACGGUCACCCAGGCUGGAGUGCAAUGGUGCAAUCAUAGAUCACUGGAAACUCGAACUCCUGGCCUCAAGGGAUCCUCCUGCCUCGGCCUCCCAAAGUGCUAGGAUUAUAGGAGUGAGCCACCACACCCAGCCCAAAGUCACGCUUUAACUUCCUCUUGGUGUUUGUUUUCUGCCAAUUGCAUGCCAUUUAUUCCUUUUGUAACAGUGUCUAUUAGAUAGUACAAGAUCUUAUCUAUUAAUUUCUAUGCUUUCCUUCCUUCCUCAUUUUGUAGUUGCUAGAGGCUUCCACAUUGAUCCAAGAAGAAUUAGGAUUGCUGUAUCUAAAACCAUAAGGGAAAUAAAUGGUUAAUUACAGGUUUGCUUCUUAUUUACUCGUAGGGUUCAUUUGAAUUAAAAGUAAAGACUUUGAGAGGAACUCAGUGUCCCACUUGCGGGUUUAUGCAACAACAAAGGCGAAGAAGAAAACCAUGUGUGUGUUGUGGGGGAGGGGUUGAGAGGGGGAAGUAGGGUAGGAGAUCUUGCCCACCCUACCUCUUGGAACACAGAAAGACUUAGGUGGGAGGUGCCCUUGAAGGGCCAGAUCUGGGUUACCAGGAGGGGAGAAAAGACUGCAGAGGUGACAGAGCAUGGCCAGUGGCCAAGAGCCACAUGGAAGCCAAGCCAAAGCUGCAGGUGGCCGUCUUUCUUUUAUCAUUACCCAAGCAAAGAGCCUUUGAGGCAGGUCUCACCUGUGCCAGGAGGGAGCCUUUCUUCCACAGCUGCCUGGGGUUCAGUCCUCAGCAGAAGAACACCUGUCUGCAACUUGAGACUCCGCUGAGCUCCCAUCUACCUGUCUUGCUCAAAAAACCACCCUGGCUUUUGAGUGGGACAAAAGGUGGAGUCCUUGGCCACCCAAGAGAGGCAGUAAUAAGUGGAACAGACACAAACCUGGGCGGGGCUGGACAGCAGAGAAAUUCACUGCAUGUGCCCAACCAUUUUUCUUUAGGAAUGGGAUGAUAUCCAGCAGUUUAGGUCAUGCUUUUUGUUACAGAUAAGCCCAACCUCUGUCACUUCUAAUUUAGAAUUACCUCUGAUGUGCUUCUUGGGAUUCUGGCCUUGAUAAAAAUGUAGAAAACCAUUUUCCUAACAUAGGACUUCAGAAGGCAAAUAAUCACAGCCUCGUUGGCCUGCAGUGAGGAGCAGGACCAGACCCACCCUCAAGAGUACCCACAUUUGAACUCUUGAGGGAAUAAAUACUUGAUGCUCUUUACAAAAAUCCUUACCCUUUCCAUCUUCCAUUCAUAUAACCUCUCUACCAAAUUAUGGACACCCGUGAAAUGCUGAGAAGCAGCAGCAAAAAUCUGUGCGCUGAGCAACAGCCUCUGGGAACUUCACUUCAUUUUAUUACACAUCACUCUCUCUCAGAAAGGAACUCAUCAGUUCUAAUAGCCCUCUUCUUGGGAAGCCGGCACAGGGAUUUCUCUUUUUUCCAGAGGCAGGAAGAGGAUUUUAGUAUUUCACCCUAACACUUGAGCGAGUUAUUAGGGGCAUUCAGUGCCUAACUGCUGGCUGGUGCUUUCUUAUUAUUUCUUCCAGAACCUUUGGCCUCUGAUCAGCGCUCUGAAAUAUAGACUGGUCCUGAAACUGCCUUUGCAAAAAUUAUAACUGAGACAAUUAUUACACAGUGACACAGAUCAGUGACACAGAUCUGACCUAACCGACUCCAUCUUGCUUCUAACCGCCAAGCUGUCCUUGUUCAUUCCUGGGCGUAGGCUGAACUAACUUUGGGAGUAGCUUAGUUUAUAGUUGAGCAUUGAAACAAAGACAAUCACAACCCUUUCUCAAAACCAACCCCCUUCCUGCCUGGGGACUAGACUGCCUUUGUAGGACUAACAGAUUAGCUACAAGAUUAGACGUUAUGGUUUAGGAGUCAUGCAGCUGGAGGCUGCAAGAUUCUAAACCUCCCCAGUUGCUCCUCAGGAUAACAUCACUAUUGUAAAACCUAAGAACGGUGCUUGAGAUAUUUUGCAGACCCUGUACUCGAUGGAUCAGCUGGCACCACCUAGAUCUAUAAACUAGCUCAUCUGGUCUUGUGGACUCCAACCAGGAACUGACUCAGAGCAAGAGGACAGCUUCGACUUCCUAUGAUUUCAUCUCUGACCUGACGAAUCAGCAAUCCCCACUUUCUGACCC